AGAUUGAACGCUGGCGGCAGGCCUAACACAUGCAAGUCGAGCGGUAGAGAGGUGCUUGCACCUCUUGAGAGCGGCGGACGGGUGAGUAAUGCCUAGGAAUCUGCCUAGUGGUGGGGGAUAACGUUCGGAAACGGACGCUAAUACCGCAUACGUCCUACGGGAGAAAGCGGGGGACCUUCGGGCCUCGCGCCAUUAGAUGAGCCUAGGUCGGAUUAGCUGGUUGGUGAGGUAAUGGCUCACCAAGGCGACGAUCCGUAACUGGUCUGGAGGGGAUGAUCAGUCACACUGGAACUGAGACACGGUCCAGACUCCGUACGGGAGCCAGCAGGUGGGAAUAGUUGGACAAGUGGGCGAAAGCCUGACUCCGAGCCAUCGCCGCGUGUGUGAAGUAGGUCUUACGGAUUUAGAAGCUAAGUUUAAGGUGGGAAGGUAAGGUUAGUAACUUUAAGUACGUUGACCUAACGUUUACGUACGUUAACCGAACGUAGAAACUAA
rnacentral:rRNA from 1 species